GGUGGCGUGUCCGAGCGGCCGAAGGUGUUCGCCUCGAAAGCGAAUGUGGGUAAAACCACCGCGGGUUCGAAUCCCGCCGCCACCG
rnacentral:tRNA from 1 species